AUGUGGGAAACCACGAUGCGGGAAACCCAAGUGCCAGCACUAUGUGUUGGCUGUCCUCCAGUGUUCGUAACUGGGGAAGAAAGAGCUGGGUAAGACGGGUGCCAGCCGCCGCGGUAAUACCCGCAGCUCAAGUGGUGGUCAUUAUUAUUGGGCCUAAAGCGUCCGUAGCUGGCUUGUUAGAUGCCUGGGUAAAUCGAUGCGCUCAACGUAUCGAAUUCCGGGUAGACCGGCAAGCUCGAGACCGGGAGAGGCGUGAGCUACUCAAGGGGUAGGGGUAAAAUCCUGUAAUCCUUUGGGGAGGACCAGUGGCGAAGGCGUCACGCUAGAACGGCUCUGACAGUGAGGGACGAAGCCCUGGGGCGCAAACCGGAUUAGAUACCCGCGUAGUCC
rnacentral:rRNA from 1 species